AACGAACGCUGGCGGCAGGCUUAACACAUGCAAGUCGAGCGCCCCGGUAACGGGGAGCGGCAGACGGGUGAGUAACGCGUGGGAAUCUACCCAACCCUACGGAAUAACGCAUGGAAACGUGUGCUAAUACCGUAUACGCCCUUUUGGGGAAAGAUUUAUCGGGGAUGGAUGAGCCCGCGUUGGAUUAGCUAGUUGGUGGGGUAAAGGCCUACCAAGGCGACGAUCCAUAGCUGGUCUGAGAGGAUGAUCAGCCACAUUGGGACUGAGACACGGCCCAAACUCCUACGGGAGGCAGCAGUGGGGAAUAUUGGACAAUGGGCGCAAGCCUGAUCCAGCCAUGCCGCGUGAGUGAUGAAGGCCCUAGGGUUGUAAAGCUCUUUCACCGGUGAAGAUAAUGACGGUAACCGGAGAAGAAGCCCCGGCUAACUUCGUG
rnacentral:rRNA from 2 species